AUGAGGGCACCCUGAUCAGCCAUGCCGCGUGAGUGAAGAAGGCCUUCGGGUUGUAAAGCUCUUUCGGCCGGGAAGAAAUCGUGGUCUCUAACAUAGGCCAUGGAUGACGGUACCGGACUAAGAAGCACCGGCUAACUACGUGCCAGCAGCCGCGGUAAUACGUAGGGUGCGAGCGUUAAUCGGAAUUACUGGGCGUAAAGCGUGCGCAGGCGGUUUUGUAAGACAGAUGUGAAAUCCCCGGGCUUAACCUGGGAACUGCGUUUGUGACUGCAAGGCUAGAGUACGGCAGAGGGGGGUGGAAUUCCUGGUGUAGCAGUGAAAUGCGUAGAGAUCAGGAGGAACACCGAUGGCGAAGGCAGCCCCCUGGGCCUGUACUGACGCUCAUGCACGAAAGCGUGGGGAGCAAACAGGAUUAGAUACCCUGGUAGUCCACGCCCUAAACGAUGUCGACUAGUCGUUCGGAGCAGCAAUGCACUGAGUGACGCAGCUAACGCGUGAAGUCGACCGCCUGGGGAGUACGGCCGCAAGGUUA
rnacentral:rRNA from 1 species